AUGCGCCGCGCCGGCGUGUGCGACCCGACUCUCGCCGGCCUACAUAAGCCGCGCGACCUGAUCAAACCGGGCACGCGACAAGGGCGACCGCGCGAAGCUGCACCCAUCCCGUUUCCAUUUCUCCAACCGAACGCCGGCAUGGCCUCGAAGCUCCCCGACGCGGCCAAGGGCCUCGGCGCCGGCGGCGCCUUGGACGUCGAGGACGGGAGCGGCGGCGGCAAGAAGGUGGCUGGCAGGUGGCCCAGGUUCGUCCACUUCUUCUUCGUCCUCACCGUCGUCACGUGCGCGCUCGUCUACGCGCCGCGGUUUCUGUCGCCCACCGUGCCCGUCGACUUCUUGGGGCCGCGGCAGCCGUCGUCCGGUAGAGCGGCGGCAGUACAAGGACGGAGCGUCGACGGUGGCCGAGGAGGCAAUGAGGGCGACGCGCUGGUCCUCGACAACCAGGUGAACUCCCCGUGCGCGUCGAUGGGCGGCCAUGGCAUCUGCUGCGACCGCUCCGACUUCAACACCGACGUGUGCUUCAUGGCCGGCGACGUGCGCACGGACGCCGCGUCGCUCUCGUUCCUGCUCUUCCCGCCGCCCAACGGCACCGCCAGCGCCAACGCCACCGUGGGGGAGAAGGAGGAGCGGGUGCAGCCCUACACGCGCAAGUGGGAGAAGCACCUGAUGGCCAACAUCCAGGAGGUGCGGCUCCGCGCGGCCCGGCCGGACGAGGCCCAGGACGGGCACCGGUGCGACGUGCGGCACGACGCGCCGGCGCUGGUGAUGACGGCGGGCGGGUACACGGGCAACCUGUUCCACGCGUUCAACGACGGGUUCCUGCCGGCGUGGCUCACGGUGCAGCACCUCCGCCGCCGCGUGGUCCUCGCGGUGCUCGCAUACAACCCGUGGUGGGCCGGCACGUUCCGGGAGCUCGUGUCGGGCCUAUCGGACCACCACGUGAUCGACCUCCUACACGACAAGCGCACGCACUGCUUCCCCGGCGCGAUCGUCGGGACGCGCUUCCACGGCAUCCUCGCCGUCGAGCCGGCCCGGACCAAGGACAACCGGACCCUCGUCAACUUCCACGACUUCCUCGCCGGCGCGUACAAGGACGACAGCACGCCGCCGGAGGCCAAUCAGCAGCAGCAGCAGCAGCAACCAAGGCGGCGGCCGAGGCUGGGGCUGUACUCGCGCAAGGGCACGCGGGUGAUCGAGAACGAGGCGGCGGUGGCGCGGCUGGCGGAGUCGGUGGGGUUCGACGUGUCCAUCCUGGAGACGGCGAACGGGGCGCCGCUGUCGUCGGAGUACGCGGCGGUGAGCGCGUGCGACGUGCUGGUGGGCGUGCACGGCGCGGACCUGACCAAGCUGCUGUUCCUCCGCCCGCGCCGCGCCGCGCUCCUGCAGAUUGCGCCGCUGGGCGUGCCGCACGUGGCUCGCGGGUGCUACGAGAAGGCGACGGCCAUGAUGGAGAUGCACUACGAGCAGUACGACGCGGCGGCGAACGAGAGCUCGCUGGUGCGCAAGUAUCCGGCCGACGACGUGGUGCUGCGCGACCCGGAGGCGGCGACGCGCGAGCGCGGGUGGGACCUCACCGCGCGCGUGUACCUCGGCGGCCAGAACGUGAGCCUCGACCUGGGCCGGUUCGGGGACACCCUGAGGAAGCUGCACUCCCGCGCCCUCCGGCUGCCCGCGGCCGGCCCGUAG
rnacentral:rRNA from 1 species